rnacentral:rRNA from 1 species
GACGAACGCUGGCGGCGUGCUUAACACAUGCAAGUCGAACGAUGAAGCUAGAGCUUGCUCUGGUGGAUUAGUGGCGAACGGGUGAGUAACACGUGAGUAACCUGCCCCGAACUCUGGGAUAACUGCUGGAAACGGUAGCUAAUACCGGAUAUGACCAAUGAAGGCAUCUUCUGUUGGUGGAAAGAAUUUCGGUUCGGGGUGGACUCGCGGCCUAUCAGCUAGUUGGUGAGUUAACGGCUCACCAAGGCGACGACGGGUAGCCGGCCUGAGAGGGUGACCGGGCACACUGGGAGUGAGACACGGCCCAGACUCCGACGGGAGGCAGAAGUGGGGAAGGUUGCACAAAGGGCGCAAGCCUGAUGCAGCAACGCCGCGUGAGGGAUGACGGCCUUCGGGUUGUAAACCUCUUUUAGUAGGGAAGAAGCGAAAGUGACGGUACCUGCAGAAAAAGCACCGGCUAACUACGUGCCAGCCGCCGCGGUAA